rnacentral:sRNA from 1 species
GAAACGGGCCUUUCAGGCAUCCUCUCCCAAACUUCCCGGGCCGAUCGGAUUUUCCGACCGGCCCUUUUUUUGUCCAGC